AUUUCUCCUCCCUUUAGAUCUAACCUAGAUCUUCAAGACCCUAAUUCAUACUUACCAUCUUUCAAUCUCCCAAAAGCAUCGGUUCCUGCUUCAUUUUUCAAACCACAACCCAAUCUCUCCCCUAAAGAUGGCGUAAAAUCACAAAUUCGCGUCAUCAAGACUACAAUCCAACAAAAAAUGGCCUGUAUUUCAACCUUAAACCCUCCUAAAACCCUAGGCGCAAUCACAUCAUCAUCAUCAUCAUCCUAUUCACUCAAAAACAGUUCAUCCUUCUCAUCACCAGCAAAAACCCACUUCAAACCCACACAAAAAUUUCCCAACUCUUCCAUUGUUAUGGCAACUAAACAGUUACAGCAGGAACAUGAACCAGAGGCAAGGUUAGAGAUAUCUAUGAUGGAGGUGAUUAUCUUGUACUAGUGACGACCGAUAGAAAAAGUGAAUUUGGGUUUUAAUUUGGGAAGAAAAGAUGUUCUUGAAUUUGGGUUUUGUUUUUUAUUUGUUCUUGUUUAUGAAGAUCUUAAACUGAAAUGCGGGUUUUGUUUAGGGGAUGAUGAUGAUAGUUGAAGGUGGUCGUGUUGUUGAAGAUCUGGGUUAGAUUUAAAGAGGAGGAGAAAUUACCAUUA